GUCUUGUUCAAAGAUUAAGCCAUGCAUGUCUCAGUACAAGCCAAAUUAAGGUGAAACCGCGAAAGGCUCAUUAAAUCAGUUAUGGUUCCUUAGAUCGUACCCACAAUUACUUGGAUAACUGUGGUAAUUCUAGAGCUAAUACAUGCAAACAGAGCUCCGACCGGAGACGGAAGGAGUGCUUUUAUUAGAUCAAAACCAAUCGGUGGCGGGCUCGUCAUCGUACAACUUGGUGACUCUGAAUAACUUUACGCUGAUCGCACGGUCAUCGCACCGGCGACGCAUCUUUCAAAUGUCUGCCUUAUCAACUGUCGAUGGUAGGUUCUGCGCCUACCAUGGUUGUAACGGGUAACGGGGAAUCAGGGUUCGAUUCCGGAGAGGGAGCCUGAGAAACGGCUACCACAUCCAAGGAAGGCAGCAGGCGCGCAAAUUACCCACUCCCGGCACGGGGAGGUAGUGACGAAAAAUAACGAUACGGGACUCAUCCGAGGCCCCGUAAUCGGAAUGAGUACACUCUAAACCCUUUAACGAGGAUCAAUUGGAGGGCAAGUCUGGUGCCAGCAGCCGCGGUA
rnacentral:rRNA from 1 species